AAUCAUGAAGACAUAAGAGUUUUAAUAUUAUAAGAAAGCAAAGAUAAGCAUUUUCCCCUUGACUUUGGAAUUGUAGUUCCAAGUUAGAUUUCCUUCUUGUUUGUUGAAUGUUGACAAAGAUAAAUAAUUUCCCUUUCUUUGGGCGCAUAAGAAGACCAGCGCUGAGAAUACCCCAUAUUGAAUACUUUGCAUAGAUAAGCAAUAUAAAUGCUUUGUGUUGGAUGAAUCAGAAAACCGUUGCAAGAAUACUCGAAUAACAUAGGAAAACCCAUGUCGAAGUUGAGAAAUAUGAUACUCUGAUCAUGUGAGAAAGCCCGUCAUGAUAUUUGUCGAGUCUGAACAAUAUACCCCCUGUUGUUGAGCGCGUAAGAAAUCCAGCGCGUGAGAAGACCAAUAGAUAACAGUAGCAUGCCAAAAGGCGGCUUAUUUCUCGCUGAGCAGCGAUUAGAAUAAAUCCAAACAACCCAUAUAGCAGAGGCGCAAAAUAGUGUAGCCCGUAUAGUAGAACAGAGAAAUACCCCAGCCCGAUCAGAGCAGAGAAAUGCCUAGCCCGGUCAGAGCAGAGAAAUGCCUAUCAGAUCAGAGAAAUUCCCAUCAGAGCAGCCCGGUCAGAGCAGAGAAAUACCCCAGCCCGGUCAGAGCAGAGAAAUACCCCAGCCCGAUCAGAGCAGAGAAAUGCAUAUCAGAUCAGAGAAAUUCCCAUCA
rnacentral:lncRNA from 1 species